rnacentral:sRNA from 1 species
GUGAGAGUCUCAGGAAGUAGCUGAGGGAGCAAGGUAUAGAUUGAAGUAGGAGAGACUUUGUUUCUUGUUACCCUUUCCUGAAAAAUAUCCAUCUGUCUGGAUAGUGUAGAUGAGAAAAGCUGUAGGGACUGUUCUUGAGUUAUAGGUCGGUCCUUGGGAUCUAUGCCUUUAACUGGUCUGUUUGAGGAAGCUGUAGUGUAGCUAUCUCACCACUGCCUCUUUGAUGACAAUUUUCUGUUUCCGGACAGACCUUACCUUCCCCUCUCCAACUGUGCCCUCAGUUGGUGUGUUUUUCUUUCCUGUUUGGCUGCAGGAUUAUUACAGUGGUGGCUACUAUCCUGCACAGGACCCGGCCCAGGUCCCCCCCCAGGAAAUUGCCCCAGAUGCCUCCUUCAUCGAUGACGAAGCAUUUAAGCGGCUGCAGGGCAAGAGGAACCGAGGGAGAGAAGAAAUCAACUUUGUGGAGAUCAAAGGUGAUGACCAGCUCAGUGGGGCCCAGCAAUGGAUGACUAAGUCAUUGACAGAAGAGAAAACCAUGAAGUCAUUCAG